CAAAUGCAUAUUAAUUCCAUCUUUUCCUCUCGUGUCCAGAUUUGGAUCUUUCUGCAUAAACUUGGAUCUUCGUUAUACUGCUUCUAACAUCAUCCAGUUGCAUGAAAAGCAUGUUGUUCGAUCACACAACAUGCCUGAUUCUUGGGACUGACAUCCUCUUUCAGGAGGUUGUGUUGAAGUUGCAGUUUCACCUGGAAGGAGAUGUUCAACCUAUGUCAAAAGUUAUGAGAUCAUAAAGCAUAAUACUCAUCCCUCAAUGUGCGCUCAAUGUUUAGCAAGCAGCAGAAAUGCAGAAUUACUAACCCCUUUCAAAAUUGGAUGAGAGUCUGGAAGCUCAUACCUGCAGCAGAGCCAGAGUAUGGAAGCAGCUUGUGGAUUCAGUGCAACCAAUGCUUUGGACAUAUCGCCUUCCAUGCUAUCUUGCAUUUUCUGUGAAAUGCCAACAUAUGAGGCAAUGAAGUUGUAGUACCUUUAUUCUAUCAGCCAGCAAGUUGUUCAUUCCACGUUCCCUGAUAGCAUCUGAGAUCUCAUUGACAUGCGCCCGUCUCAAUGCUUCGUAGUCGACUGUUCCCUUUCUUACCUUUGGGAUAUUUGUGCCUGCCCCACUUAAUGGUUCAUGAGAAGCAUAAUUCUGCUCCUUUGAGUUGGCUUCGGCG